CUGCGGUCAAAUCACGACGAAACACCGGUUCUCAUUCAAUCACUGAAGUUAAGCAACGUCGAACGCGGUCAGUACUUAGCUGGUGGGCCGUUUGGGAACACCGGCUACUGUAA